rnacentral:rRNA from 1 species
GCCAGCAGCCAUAUCACCCUGCAAAUCAGAACUGGCAACCCACUGAAGCUAAGCAGGUGUGAGCCUGGUCAGUACCUGGAUGGAAGAUCUCCUGGGAAAAACUAAAGUUGCUGCUGGAA